AUUGAACGCUGGCGGCAUGCCUUACUCAUGCAAGUCGAACGGCAGCACGGGUGCUUGCACCUGGUGGCGAGUGGCGCACGGGUGAGUAAUACAUCGGAACAUGUCCUGUAGUGGGGGAUAGCCCGGCGAAAGCCGGAUUAAUACCGCAUACGAUCUACGGAUGAAAGCGGGGGACCUUCGGGCCUCGCGCUAUAGGGUUGGCCGAUGGCUGAUUAGCUAGUUGGUGGGGUAAAGGCCUACCAAGGCGACGCUCAGUAGCUGGUCUGAGAGGACGACCAGCCACACUGGGACUGAGACACGGCCCAGACUCCGACGGGAGGCAGCAGUGGGGAAUUUUGGACAAUGGGCGAAAGCCUGAUCCAGCAAUGCCGCGUGUGUGAAGAAGGCCUUCGGGUUGUAAAGCACUUUUGUCCGGAAAGAAAUCCUUGGCCCUAAUACGGUCGGGGGAUGACGGUACCGGAAGAAUAAGCACCGGCUAACUACGUG
rnacentral:rRNA from 1 species